rnacentral:rRNA from 1 species
GAUGAACGCUAGCGGCAGGCAUAAUACAUGCAAGGCGAACGGCAAGAUUUGUAGCAAUACGAAUCCUAGAGUGUCGUACGGGUGCGUAACACGUAUGCAACCUACCUUUUACAGGAGUAUAGCUCGGUGAAAACCGAAUUAACCCUCCAUAAGAUCGUAUUCAGGCAUCUGAGAGCGAUUAAAACUGCGGUGGUAAAAGA